ACUAGUUAUAGGAACUUGCCACCAGGGCAGUCCCUCGAGAACUAAAUGUUAGGGUCAUUUUCAUGGUUGCAUUCGCACCGUCAACAGGAACUCUGCAGUGACGUAAGCUGGCCGUCAUUUAAACGUAGCAUUCAACAACGGGAGGAUGGAGGAUGCCGUGAUCGAUUGAGAAAUGCCUGGACUUCGGUGUCAGGUGACUGAAUAAUGACAAACUUUUUAUUUCAGUGUACUGUCCCUUUAAUUGGUAAACACAUUAAAAGUUUAGAUCAUUUAAGUGUAAAUUGUAAUGCAUUUUCAUGUAAAUACUGUAUCAUUAUGUAAAAAAUAGUUUUGUCUGUAUAAAUGUCUUAAAAAUAUUUAAGGAAUGUUCAUAUAUUUUGUACCACACUAUUAUUAUGCAUAUGAUCAUGAACAAUAUUUGAACAAUGUUUUACACUUUCAAUGAACUUUUGUUGGUUUAACAAACAAAAUGUCAAGCUAUUUCGAACAUAAAAGAAAUAAAAUAAAAGAUGCCAAACUCUA